rnacentral:rRNA from 1 species
UGGGGAAUAUUGGACAAUGGGGGCAACCCUGAUCCAGCCAUGCCGCGUGAGUGAUGAAGGCCUUCGGGUUGUAAAGCUCUUUUGGCGGGGACGAUGAUGACGGUACCCGCAGAAUAAGCCCCGGCUAACUUCGUGCCAGCAGCCGCGGUAAGACGAAGGGGGCAAGCGUUGUUCGGAAUUACUGGGCGUAAAGCGCGUGUAGGUGGUCAUUCUAGUCAGGCGUGAAAGCCUCGAGCUCAACUCGAGAAAUGCGCUUGAUACUGGAUGACUAGAGGACCGGAGAGGAUAGUGGAAUUCCCAGUGUAGUGGUGAAAUACGUAGAGAUUGGGAAGAACACCAGUGGCGAAGGCGGCUAUCUGGACGGUUUCUGACACUAAGACGCGAAAGCGUGGGGAGCAAACA